CCUACGGGUGGCUGCAGUAGGGAAUCUUCCGCAAUGGACGAAAGUCUGACGGAGCAACGCCGCGUGAGCGAAGAAGGUCUUCGGAUCGUAAAGCUCUGUUGUUAGGGAAGAACAAGUACGGGAGGAAAUGACCGUACCUUGACGGUACCUGACGAGGAAGCCACGGCUAACUACGUGCCAGCAGCCGCGGUAAUACGUAGGUGGCAAGCGUUGUCCGGAAUUAUUGGGCGUAAAGCGCGCGCAGGCGGUCUUUUAAGUCUGAUGUGAAAUCUUGCGGCUCAACCGCAAGCGGUCAUUGGAAACUAGGGGACUAGGGUGCGGAAGGGGAAAGCGGAUUUCUCAGUUUCGCGGUGAAAUGCGUGGAGAUUUGGGGGAACACCAGUGGCGACGGCGGCUUUCUGGUCUGUAACUGACGCUGAGGCGCGAAAGCGUGGGGAGCAAACAGGAUUAGGUACCCCAGUAGUC
rnacentral:rRNA from 1 species